rnacentral:lncRNA from 1 species
UGCACUCCUUUUCGAUUCACAAAAUCGGCUUCAUUUUCAUGUGGGCUGAUAAUUUUUACAAACGUCCCAUCUAUACAUCCUAGUACAUUUGGAAAUCCUUCAAAUAUAAAAAAGAAUCAUUAAAAGGUGCUCAGUAUAAUAACAAUAUUUUAUCAUAGGAUUUAAAGCCUAUUUAAAGGACUUCACUGGUGUGUAAAUUCAACCAAUUCACUCACAAACAAAUUGAAGUCUGAAGGACUUUUAUUAUAUGUUUAUGAGUUAUUUGGUCCAGUUUAUACACCAAUGAAUUCCUUUAAAAAGGCAUUCAAUCCUUAUAAUUGUUUAAAAUUUGAAAUAAGGAAAAUAUGUUUUCCCAACACUUAACCUCUGUCCCACA